rnacentral:rRNA from 1 species
UCUAUCAGUCGGAGUGAGAUAGAGUAGUCUGCCGGGUAACGGCAGGCCCAGUCGCAAGACUGGGAUUUGUGUACCGGGGUGUGACCGGAGCAAGCUAUUCGUCUAGAGGACUGCCUGGCUGAUGCACUUCCUUUGUACGGUGAACACCACGACCGGUGGUACUGCCAGUCUGCCAUGGCCAAGUCGUGUUGAGUCGGCAUCUGAUGUUGGCUCAGCAUCGAUAACAUGCAAACUCAGUGAACGGUGUAAGAGUGUUUCCGCAUUCUUGCACGUUAUCGGACACUGGUUGUUAACGGGUGUGCCUUCCGAUUGCUGUAAUCGUCGGAUGUGACCUGGUCGGCUGUGGUGGUAUGAAUAACUGUGCAGGGCACUGUUGUUAUCGGUCUCUAGUCUGACUUGCAUACGCUUUACAGGCGGUUACGAAGGCAUUGUUGCAGCCUGCCGGUGUUUGGGUUUGAUUGUCGUGUCACCUGCAUAAGUGG